UUGGCCUACGGGAGGCAGCAGUGGGGAAUAUUGCACAAUGGGGGGAACCCUGAUGCAGCGACGCCGCGUGGGCGAGGAAGUAUUUCGGUAUGUAAAGCCCUAUCGGCAGGGAAGAAGAAAUGACGGUACCUGACUAAGAAGCCCCGGCUAACUACGUGCCAGCAGCCGCGGUAAUACGUAGGGGGCAAGCGUUAUCCGGAUUUACUGGGUGUAAAGGGGGCGCAGACGGCAGCGCAAGCCAGGAGUGAAAGCCCGGGGCCCAACCCCGGGACUGCUCUUGGAACUGCGCGGCUGGAGUGCAGGAG
rnacentral:rRNA from 1 species